UACGGAGGGUGCAAGCGUUAUCCGGAUUCACUGGGUUUAAAGGGUGCGUAGGUGGGCAAGUAAGUCAGUGGUGAAAUCUCCGGGCUUAACCCGGAAACUGCCAUUGAUACUAUUUGUCUUGAAUACUGUGGAGGUCAGCGGAAUAUGUCAUGUAGCGGUGAAAUGCUUAGAUAUGACAUAGAACACCAAUUGCGAAGGCAGCUUACUUCACGAGUAUUGACACUGAUGCACGAAAGCGUGGGGAGCAAACAGG
rnacentral:rRNA from 1 species